CAGUCGCCACGGUAAUACGAAGGGUGCAAGCGUUAAUCGGAAUUACUGGGCGUAAAGCGUGCGUAGGCGGUUUGUUAAGUCUGCUGUGAAAUCCCCGGGCUCAACCUGGGAGUGGCAAUGGAUACUGGCGAGCUAGAGUGUGUCAGAGGAUGGUGGAAUUCCCGGUGUAGUGGUGAAAUGCGUAGAGAUCGGGAGGAACAUCAGUGGCGAAGGCGGCCAUCUGGGACAACACUGACGCUGAGGCACGAAAGCGUGGGGAGCAAACAGGAUUAGAUACCCCGGUAGUCCCUGUCUCUUAUAC
rnacentral:rRNA from 1 species